GCGAGUGCGACGGGAGAAAACAUCGCUCUCGGCUCGGGUAGGAACGGACGGCGAAUCUCUCCAAUCCUCUCUUUAAUCACGUGGAUUAACGAUCGAUGAAGCACUGAUCAACAGACCAUCCACAUCAAAGGAGGAAAUCUCCUCCUCUUCCUCUCAGUCCGUUGCGAUGGAUGGAAUGUUCAAAAAGCUGCGGAAUCUAGAUGCGUAUCCAAAGAUCAACGAGGAUUUCUACAGCCGUACGCUCUCCGGAGGCAUCAUCACCGUCGUUUCCUCCAUCGUCAUGCUCUUGCUCUUCAUCUCCGAGCUCAGACUAUAUCUUCUUGCAGUUACUGAAACGAAGCUUGUAGUAGAUACUUCUAGAGGAGAAACUCUUCGUAUCAAUUUUGAUGUCACCUUUCCUGCCCUCCCAUGUUCAAUACUAAGUCUCGAUGCCAUGGAUAUCAGUGGAGAGCAACAUCUUGAUGUAAGACAUGAUAUAAUCAAGAAAAGGAUAGAUGCUAACGGGAAUGAUAUUGAGGCUAGGCCGGAUGGAAUUGGUGCACCUAAGAUUGAAAAGCCAUUACAGAGACAUGGUGGAAGGCUUGAACAUAAUGAGACAUAUUGUGGUUCUUGUUAUGGUGCGGAAGUGUUUGAUGAAGAUUGUUGUAACUCGUGUGAAGAAGUUCGUGAAGCAUACAGAAAGAAAGGUUGGGGGCUGUCGAAUCCUGAUUUGAUUGACCAGUGCAAACGAGAGGGUUUUCUCCAAAGAAUUAAAGAUGAAGAAGGUGAAGGAUGCAACAUCUAUGGAUUCUUGGAAGUUAAUAAGGUCGCUGGUAAUUUUCAUUUUGCCCCUGGGAAAAGCUUCCAACAGUCAAAUAUUCAUGUGCAUGAUUUGCUGGCAUUUCAGAAGGAUAGUUUUAAUAUUAGCCACACAAUCAAUAAACUAUCCUUUGGAGCACAUUUCCCAGGCGUUGUUAAUCCUCUUGAUGGGGUACAAUGGGUGCAAAAGACACCAUAUGGGAUGUAUCAGUAUUUCAUCAAGGUGGUUCCUACUGUUUACACUGACAUAAGCAGGCACACAAUCCAGUCAAAUCAGUUCUCUGUAACAGAGCAUUUUAGGGGUGCAGAACUUGGUCUUGUGCAGGCUCUUCCUGGAGUUUUCUUCUUUUAUGAUCUUUCACCUAUUAAGGUGACUUUCAUAGAGCAACAUGUGUCCUUCUUACACUUCCUCACAAAUGUUUGUGCUAUUGUUGGAGAAAAUUUCAGAAACUUGCAUGUGCAUUUUGCUGAUUCCACGAUUGAAGGCAGAGAUGCUGAAGGACAACAUCCUACCAUAUGUCAGAUGGCCAUAAAAAAAAAAAAGGUUAGUUAUCCUGUCCUUGUGUUUUAGUGUUUUGCCUGAUAUUGUAUGGAAGACCGGCUGCCUAUUUUUUUGAAGCAGAAUCUCGGGUGUAAAAUCAAGCAGGAUCACUCAUUCCUCACUUUUAGAGAGAGUAAUCAACCAGUAUAUCAUCCGAAAAUGGAGGAACUGGAAUUUGAUGCAUUGCCCAUUCCAAUGUGAGAUGAUCAGUGUGCUUUACACUGGAUUCGGCCUGAGCCCAGAGGCCUGUGGAUUGGAUCUGGCCCUGAGUUUUGAGCUGAAUAAUUAAUUGGACUUGACCUGGCCUGCAUCUGCUCUGUCCUGAAAGAUAGUUGCUAUGGCUCAGCACAGCCUGGCCCAUUUCCCAUCCUAAUCAACGCCCCUUUCAUCUUUAGCUCUUGGGGUCUGGCAAGAGGUGGAACAUCAAUCCACGCCCCUUCAACGUAUCAACCGGCUCUUCUUGGUAUAGACAAGGGAUCGUAGGACCGCCGCACAUGAUUCCAGUCAAAGAGAUUCUGCGGUGUUUGGAUACUGGGAAAGCUAUUGUCAGAAUCCAAUUUUUGUGUUUGGACCAUAGGAAAGAGUUGUUGAGAGAGGAGAGAGCUUUUAUCCUUAACGCAAAAUAAUAAUAAAUAGAUAAAUAAACAGUCGUUUGAUGGGAAUGCAUUUCUCUAAAUUUUGCAUCCCAUCGUGAAGAUGAAAAUCGGAAAGGGGGUAAAUUUCGAGAAAGGAAUUUAUGUGGAAAUUCAUUUUCCAUCCUUUUCCAGAACAAACACAAAUUCCGCCCCUAACUAAUGGGAUUCAUUUCCCUAGGACUGGAUUCUCAGUGGCCAAACAACAUUAAUGGAUGAGUUGUACCUUGAAAGAAGAUCUCAUAUUUGGAUAUAUCUUAUCUAUAUUAGGUGGAGUCUAAAAGACCAACAAUUUGGAUCAUUGAGGAGGUGGAGCUGUCACCUGUGAGGAGAAAUUUAUCGAGAGAUCAUAAAUUACUGACUACAUACAGCAUUCGCUAUCAUUACAGAUGCGGGGGAUUGGCCUACCUUUCGAGAAACAUUAGAUGACACAAACGCUAAGAAGCGAAUGGUGGCUAUGCAGGACGAGAUGAAUUCCUUAUACAAGAUUGAGAUGUAGGAGUUAGUGGAGCUUCUUGUUGAACGUAAAGUAGUCGGAUGUAAGUGGAUUUACAAUAAGAAACAUGACAGAUACAAUGCGAGAUUGGUUGCGAAGGGGUAUGCUAAAAAAGAAGGCAUCGACUUCAAUGAGAUAUUUGCAUCAAUUGUCAAGAAGGUAUCCAUCAUAUUUGUGUUGGCACUGGCUGCCCAAUACAAUAUAGAACUAGAACAAAUAAAUGUAAAAAUUACUUUCUUAUAUGGGGAAUUGGAAGAAUAGAUCUACAUGAAGCAGUCAGAUAAGUUUGAGGUGCAGAGGUCAAAGAAUAAAGUUCACAGGUCAAUGAGGUCGUCGUACAACUUAAAACAGUCGCCUAUGCAGUGAUAUAAGAAAUUUGAUACUUUCAUAGUGAGUCAGCGGUUGAUCAGAAGUGAAUUUGAUCAUUAUAUUUACUUUAAGGCAUUGAAUGAUGGAGAUUUCAUUAUACUUGUAUUA